rnacentral:piRNA from 1 species
UAUCAGCAGGAAAUAAAAACAGGACC